CAAAAACCAUAACAAAGAGAAAGGCGGGGAGGAGAGGCGGCUCGUGUGGGAAAGUUUUGGACCGGGGGCGAGAAGACGACGUUUAAAGUGUGAAAAUGCAUUCCUGGGAAGUGCAAUUCCAUGUUCUUUUGAAAACAAGAUGACCGCAAAAGAUGGCGGCCGGACCCUAAAGGCGUCCAUGGUUUUUGCAACUCCUGGAAAGAAGCACAAUAGCAGACAAAAGAUCAAGUCCCUUCUUUCAUCAGUGUGCGCUACCUGCAGCCAUUCGGAAGAUUGUCAGUGUAAAAGAGGCUCACUGCACUGAGGAUGGCGGAUUAAGGGAUAAAAAGGCGGACGGACGCCAUCGGAUGAGGAAUGGGAGGGUUACAGGUCAGUCUUGCCUCUGAGGGACGCAGCCUUCCAUCUCCAGGACCUCGGGCCAUCCCUCAAACUUGUUUGUGUCAGCGCUGUUCUUGAUGUGCUGGAAAAGAACUUUCUCUUAGCUUCUGAUUGGUCUUGGUCAUAGUUUCUAACAAAUAUUUACCAUUUAUCACCAUUAACUUGAAUUUGCUGCGUUUAGGUGCUUAUUGUUGUGGUGCCUUUUCCAGAAACAACUUUCUUCUGACUUCUGAUUGGCUAAAAGGGCCCUAAAGCUAGGAGUUUGUGCUACACGUCACUAAUAGGACUGUCCUGAACAGUCAGGAUGGAUUCAAUGGCCUGAGAAUACAAUGACCUUGAUGAAGGACAACAAUCACAGGCAUGCACUUACAUCAUUUUUGUCGUCAACUACUACUACUAAUAAUAUUCUUAGCCUCUGUGAAGCGUGUCUUCCCAGUGAAUUCCUAAAAACCAAACAUGGCGUCACAUUACCUGCUCAAACGGGCUCUUGGUCUUGAUUCCUUUCCCGCCGACAAAGAUCCAGUUAUCCCGGAAGCCCAAGUUAGUGAUGGCUGUGCUUCCCAGAUCGGCAAUCAGUUUCCGGGCUUCUUCGUUGAGCCUGCAAACCAAGAAUACAAACAUUUUUGUAUAGAUGAUAUCUGAUAUCUUCUCUUUUUACCAAAAAAAAAAACCAUACCCAUAACUUUUUAUAACCGAUAUCUGAUCUUUUAAAAUAAAAAAAUACACAUUUCGAGGUAAGAAGGACUUGAACAAAUGUGUAUCUGACCAAGUGUACCUGUUGAUUUGUCCUAUUCUUGACAUUACAACUACUGUCAGGAGAACCAGAAUACAGAUGGGGAGGAGCCACCUGGUGUGGCCCAGCAAGGUGCACCGUAUUCGGGCACACACUCAGAGCAGCUGGUGUGGCGCCAUGGAGGUCCCUGGCGUUAUCGUGCACCCUUUUCUAGUGCCCAGGCCUGGACCUAUGGGACCCGGCCAGGCAACAUAGGUGUCCCCAACCCCCCACGUUGGUGAGGGGUGGCAGACAAAAGCAGGGACCUUGGCGGUCCGAUCUUGGAAUGAAUAAGCUGGCUCUUCCGGCUGGUAGAAGGCCUCGGGGAAGACCCAGAGACUGGAGAGACUCUCCACUGGCCUGGGAACGGUGCGGGAUCUGCCGGGGCAGCGACUUAGACUACCUCCCCCUGGUACCCGACCACUGAUAUGCGGUACAAUAUGGAUGGAUGAUGACAGGAAACGGCAUUUCUUACUUGGUGGAGGGAUCAUCGAAGGAUGCCAUCAUGACGACCGUUCCAUCCUGGAUUCCCUUCAGGAACUGAAUGAGGGGGGCCACAUCUAGGGAAGGGAACACGCAGUGAAACGCUACAUGCCGCUUCUUAAUGGCGCCAUAAGAACCCAUGAAACUUCUUACUUCCCGCCCACAUGUCGAAGUACUCAGUCUUGUUCAGCUCCCCUGUUCGUCCUGUGGGAGACAUUUUUGUUGUGUAUAAACAACACAAGACUCUUCAAAUGUGACUUUUGAUACCAUUGACGAGGGCGAUGUUGAUUCCUCGUCCGACGUUAUUCUUCAGGCCGCUCAUCAGCCUGAAAAGGAACAACAUGACAGGCGGCUGAGACAUGUGACUUGACACUUCCAACACCUUCAUCAAACACGGCGAUGAUGAUGAUUGUUCCAUUUACGACCAUCGCUUACAGUUUGUCCUCCAGGCACAUUUUAGGCCCCACCACGCUGGCAGCGCCGCUCGCCAUCUUGAACGCAAAGUGUCCCAUGGGACACGCCUUAGAAAGCCCACAUUUGUACCGGACUGGUUUGACAACUGCGGGGGGGACAGAUUUCCAUUACAGUAAUCAAAUGAGAGGAAUUCUAUGAAGCAACAAAGUAAGACAUACUUACAGCCUUCCUUCUCGGGUACGGAUUUAACUAGAGGACAAGACAAGAAGACACAUUUAAAGGAAAAGUGCACUUUUUUUAAAUAAUUUUGCCCAUAAUUCAAAAUCCUUAAGAGACAUAAACACACGUCUGUCAUUUUGCUGUGUCUUAUGGUGUGGAAAGGGGUAACUACACCCUGGAAUUUCUCAUUGUCAGCACUAAUACAAGCAUAUCUUAUCAGUAACAUAGUUCUUGGGUGUAACAAUGUUAAUAAUAAUAGUAAUGAUAAUGGUUUAAUUUCAUUUGAACAUGCAUCAGAUUACAAUUGAGUGCAUCCCAUAAUCAGUUCACAGUUCCACAUGUCCAAAAGGAAUAGGAAGAAGCAAAGCUUAUUAAAUCCUACCCCUCCAUCUGGUACUUUUACAAUCAGUAACUGUUACAUUUGUUCACUUCCUGCUUUCCUAAUAUAGUUUAAGUUUUUUUUUCUUACUUAAAUUUUUUUUGUUCACUUCCUAAUAUAGUUUAAUUUAUCUUUAUUUUUUACUUAAAUUUUUUUGUUCACUUCCUGCUUUCCUAAUAUACUUACAUUUUUUAUUACUUAAAAAAAUAUGACCAUACAAUGACAUAAUGGGUGUUUCAAAUGUAGUUCUUCCCUGAGAUCAUAUUUCUCCUACUCUUGUAGAGAAGUAUUGGAUGACAUUUUUAGCUAAUUGCUUAUUUUUAGCCUUAUGCAUUAUUUUAGCUGUUUGAAGAUGAACUAUAUCAGCAAGUUUGUGAUUUUAGAAAUAAGGAGUUAGUAUGUUCUUUGUAGGCGGCAUUAUGAAUUAUCCUUACUGGCCUUUUUUGCAGUACAUUUAGCCAGUGAAGAUUGCUUUUAUAGUUAUUAGCCCAUAUUUCCACACAAUACGUAAGAUAUGGUAGAACCAGAGAACAAUAAAGAAUGUGGAGUGAAAUUUUGCUUUGUUCAAUACUGAAAUAUUUCUGGCUACCUUAUGUUGUAUAUUUGUAAUAUUAUAGGUUUCCAGCUCAUAUUUUCAUCUAUUGUGAUCCCCAAUAAUAAUAAUAAUAAUGUCACUGUAGCUUUGUUAAUAUGUAGAUCACAUUAUGUAAAUUGAGCAGUGUUUUUUUUUCAUAGGUGGAAUAGGUGCGUCCCAUUAUAUGCAUUUUAACUGCUUCUUUUCUUUACCAUGCACUCAAGGAGAUUUCAAGAUCCAGACUUCCUCUUCCCCGUCACUCACCCAUCCCGCUGCCCAGUCUGAAAUCCAUCUUGACCUCCAGCAGCUGGAAAGCCAAAUAGAUGGCGAGGAGGAACGCAAAGACGACUGCUGCUAGUUUCAGAAUACCUUGCAGAGGGAACCAAACACACACUCGUCAUGCAUUUAAAGGUUCAUAAAAUUGAUGCAAUUCGUGCGUUUACCUCCAGUCCGUAACAUUGUAGUCGCCUCCAGCCACUUCUGACCACCUUAAAGAGGAACCCAAACACACUAAAGAUGAUUUCUUCCGCCUGUAAACAAGACGGAGGUAGCCGCUAUUGGCCGUUUGGCUAGCUGCCACACAAAGUUAAGCAUCCUUUUGGGUGUCACUUGAAAGUCACUAAACACACUUAAACAGUCGUACCAUUACAAACUUUAAAACAAAGACGUCGAUAUUGAUAUAAUUAUCAUGAUUUGACAUCAAAAACUCAUUUAUUUGAAGUCACAACUGACGUUACGGUUAUGUGUGUGUGUAACCGAGUUUCUCAACCGGCGUUUACAAACCCACGACCGACGAGCUCCAUUUAAAGUAAUAAAAUAUUUGCGGUUUAGUGAAGAAAAACAUAAAAACAAAAAAGUAUUUUAUUUACUUACAAGUUGAAGAGCAGCAACAGCCAGCUGUUCCGCGGUGGACUCCUGAAAUGACAACUGAGCUGGUUUACUCCAACAAGAGCGUCCACUCUCGUCAUUGAAGGAAGGCGGAAGAGAAUAUCACAGGCAGUGGUUUUGUGUCGUUUCAACACAAACUCGAAACAACUCUAAAAUAAAGAUACAGAAUGAGGUGCAAUCGGCGUGUAUAGGUUUGACUAAUUAAAAAAAAUACAAAUAAAAACAUUUGUUUGUCAGUGAGACGUCUGUUCCAAACAGGAUCUUUCAUACUUCCGCAAAAUCUCUUCUUCGCUUAUUUUUUAAAGGUGAAAAGACGUUUCAGCGCCCUCUGUGUUCUCGGAGGACCGCUAACUGAUUUGAUUACCAGCUGUUUUCACGCUUACUGGUUUUAUUUUUAUUAUUUUAUAAGUGCACACUUUAGCGUUUCUUUUACUCCACACUAAAUUUCAUCAUUUAUAAGUAAUUAAUAUAUAAAAAAUCAAUAUAAAACGAGAUAAAUAUCAAUUAUUUUCAAUAUUAAAAUACAAAGACUCUUUUUAAAAAGACAAUAAAGCGAUAAACUGCAUGAAUGUCAAUAAAUAAAUAUAUUUAAUUCUUCUGUGGUUGUCCUGUAGAGCCAAAGAACCCUCCUGGAGUCUUAUGGUCCGACGGGUGAACUUCACUGCAGAAGAUUUAGCUGAAAAAAGACAGCAUGCAGCAAUCAGUUCUUUUCAUAUAAAUCAAUGUAAAGGAUGCCAGUCGUAUCUACAUUAUCCGAGUCCUGUGGACUGCUUGUUCCGUUGCUGCUGGUGGCGCUUUCAAGGUCCCCUGCGACGCCGCUGCGGUCAUCUUGACUCUGGAGAUUGGAGAAGCGAUAGUCGGGUGCCCUGCAAGUUCAAACUCUGAGCUGAAAGUGGUCCGGUUCCUAAAACCCCGUCAGGUGUGUUCUAGAAGUGGCUCACCUGUUGCGGUAAACGCCUCUUUUGAUGGCUAUGAAGGCGGAGACGACCGCUGCCACCACGAUGACGCCUGCUCCGACGCACACCAGCAUCAGCACCAUCCUCUCCCGCUGGGAACAUUUAAACGGGACACAUCUGCUAGAGCCUUUAAAUCAGUUCCUGAAGAACCGAUAUCCGACGUACCGGUGUGUCAAAAUGGCUAACUGGCAACUCGGAGCGUGUGGGCGGUGAAUUGGAGGUGGGCUUGACACCGCAGGGUCUUAUGAUGGUCUGCACCGCCAGUUGAGGAGAAAAUCCCCCUUCACAUCUGUCGCUUGGGACUUUCCGAUACCUGGCAACAAGAGAAGCUUCCAAGAUGUCGGAGCUUGCUGGGAUUUUCAUGAGGAGCAUCCGUUACCCCGCCGUGAAGAGCUCAUCCUCUUGUCCGUUGAGACACGUCUCCAAAGUUUUGUUGUGGACAUCGGGCUGUGGCACACACUUGGACGUGUUAACAUGGCGGUAGUAGCCGUAGUCGCUGUGAAGAAGAAAGUUCAAAAUGGACGCUCAUGAUGACAUCACAAUGCUGCCGUUCUCACCACAAGUAGUCCUCUCUGGUGCACAAGCAUGGAAUUUCCUUCUUCCUCGGGAUGAAACCGCGACCGUUCCUGCACACGGAUUCUUUCCUCCGCCUCCUGUACGUCUCCUUGAUGCCUAAGACGCAGCCGUCCAUCUCUGAAGCUCCUCCCUGCGGCGAAUGAGCCAACCACUCUUCAUAAUCCUGCUCAUCACCUGAAGGAACAUCACAUUGUAGGCUCUGGAGGUUCUUUCCGGAGGGUUUUCCCGGCAUUUCCGAAACUCACAUUCUCUAGUGACGAGGCUCUGGAAGUCGAUGGUGACGGCAACCCACAUGGGCUGGCCGUCGUCUUCGGGACGAAAGCCCCAAACGCUGACGCUCAGGGCCUUGGUGCCCGGCUCGGAAGACAAGCCGGCGAAGAAGAAGGGCUGCUCUGUGAAAUUGUACGACUUCCAGCACCGCCCCUCGUCUGUGGAGAACCUGAGGACGGGGGGGAGUGUUAAGGUAUUGUCCGAAUAUAAGACGACCCCCCCGAAGUCUGGUUUGCAUGUGUACGUUUUGUCCGAGGUUCAAAUCACCUUCCUAUAUUCUCUGUGUGGACGUUGCAUGUUUGGCUAACGGGAGACUGUAAGUCAGGGGUGUCCUAACUUUUUCCAGCAUGGGCCACAUUGUUUUAUCAAUUUUAGCACUUUUUCCCCUCAACCUAAUUUUCCAAAAAUUGCUACUAAAAUUACAUUAUUUUUAAUAAUUUUAAAAUUCAUUUUUAUUAUUAUUUUUAUUAAUUAUUAAUAUUCCAAGUUUAUUAUUGCGAGAAUAUAUAAUUUUUUUUGUAAUAGUUAAUUGUAAAAGUAUAUUAUUAUUAUAAUUACUGUUUUAUUUAGCUUCCAACAAUAUUCAUUCAGGGUACACCCUGGAUUGGUCGCCAGCCAAUCACAGGGCACAUAUAGACAAACAACCAUUCACACUCACAUUCAUACCUAUGGACAAUUUGGAGUCGCUAAUUAACCUAGCAUGUUUUUGGAAUGUGGGAGGAAACCGGAGUACCCGGAGAAAACCCACACAUGCACGGGGAGAACAUGCAAACUCCACACAGAGAUGGCCGAGGGUGGAAUUGAACUCGGGUCUUCUAGCUGUGAGGUCUGAGCGCUAACCACUCGAGCGCCGUGCAACAAGGAACAAUCUUAUGUUAUUUAUUCAUUCAUUCAUUUUCUACCGCUUUUCCUCACGAGGGUCGUGGGGGGUGCUGGAGCCUAUCCCAGCUGUCUUCGGGCGAAAGAGGCAGGGUCCACCCUGGACUGAUGGCCAGCCAAUCACAGGCCACAUAUAGACAAACAACCAUUCACACUCACAUUCAUACCUAUGGACAAUUUGGAGUCGCUAAUUAACCUAGCAUGUUUUGGUCUUAACACAAAAGUGCGUAUUAGUACUUGAUGGUCUUGACUUGUCCUUCUCGCUGAGCCUCCACAGCCACCACAAGACCGCCAGAGUCCAGUAUGCUGUAGUGAUGGGGACCCCUUAAAGUCCCUCUCCAGUUGUAGCCCCCGUCUGAUGACACAAAGACAUCCGGGUGCUGCGAGGACGACAGGCAAUCCCCCACGGUGCCUAAUGAAGACGUGAGAGUCAAAAUACUAAAACACUGAUCCAGGACGGAGUCGAAGUAGUGGCUACCGUGGGCGAUGACGAGACCGACGGCGGUGGGUUCGGACAUGAGGAGCAUGGGCACGAUGCGAUUGAUGCGACUGUGUUCUCCGUGAAUGUGAAGCUUGCACUAGUCAAAAGAGCGUCAUUAGCGUCAAAAUACAUAUCUGCUAUGUCCGAAGCACACGGGACACACAUUCUUUACUUCCUGUCCACAUUCUACGUUCCCGGGUUUGGAAAGCUGCUGCCAACUUCCUCCGCGAUUGAAGGAAAUGACCGAUCGUAUUCGUCCAUCUGAAAAAAAAACGAGAAAACAGUACAGUCCUUAUAUUUCAAAGUCAGAAAAGUACCACUUCCACACGGAAUGGGAGGAGAACUUAUUUUCACUCGAUCGUGUGAGACUUGAUGCAGCGUUAAGGUAAUGUCAUGGAAAAAUGGGUUUUGAACGUUAGGGUUGGAAUUAUGACAAAAACAAACACUCUGCUGUACACUGACUACUCUAACUUAUUUUCAUUUCUAUAUGAUAUGAAAUAUGAUGGCUGUCCUCCCUCGUGUCAGCUCCUUUACCUUGGUCCAGUUUAUUGGUGAGGUAAACACCUCGCAGCGACGUCACGUUCCGGAAGUCGCUCUUCCUCUGCCCGUCAAAAAGGUGGCGCUCCAGGGAUUUGGAGAAAAGGAUGCCGCGGUCGUCCGACGUGUACAUGGUUCCGAAGUAGGUGUCUGACGUUUGGUAAAAUAUCACAUCGCAUCACAUGACCUUCUGUAAAUGAUACUCAGAAAUGUGUCAAGGUCAAAUGGGAGUGUGUGUAUGAUCUCCAGAUACAUUUGUCAGCCCGUUUACAUUGUAAAUAAAUCCUACUCGCUAUCUCUCCCAUUCAUCUCAACUCCGAAGGCGAAUGGGAGAAGUUGGAAGUGAGUUUUUCCUUGCCGGGAUCAGAUGUCAGAUGUCAGAUUGUUGCCGGCUAUUUACCAGCCCUUGGAGGCUCUUUUGUGAUGAAGGGCAUUGUAUAUACAUAAAUAAACAUGACUUUUGAUCUCAUAAUUUUUACUU